rnacentral:rRNA from 1 species
UUUGAUCCUCGGCUCAGGACGAACGCUGGCGGCGUGCUUAACACAUGCAAGUCGAACGAUGAAACAGAUCUUGAUGUCUUCGGACUGAUUGAACUGUGGAUUAGUGGCGGACGGGUGAGUAACGCGUGAGCAAUCUGCCUUACACAAAGGGAUAGCCUCGGGAAACCGGGAUUAAUACCAUAUGAUAUCACAUUUUCGCAUGAAGAAGUGAUUAAAGAAUUUCGGUGUAAGAUGAGCUCGCGUCCCAUUAAUUAGUUGGUGAGGGUAACGGCCCACCAAGAUAGCGAUGGGUAGCCGAUCUAAGAGGAUGACCGGCCACAUUGGAACUGAGACACGGUCCAAACUCCUACGGGAGGCAGCAGUGGGGAAUAUUGCACAAUGGGGGAAACCCUGAUGCAGCGACGCCGCGUGAGCGAAGAAGGCUUUCGGGUCGUAAAGCUCUGUCAUAAGGGAAGAUAAUGACGGUACCUUAAGAAGAAAGCCCCGGCUAACUACGUGCCAGCCGCCGCGGUA